UAGCUAUACAUUUGUCUCCUUCCUCUUGAAUCUCCCUCCCACCUCCUGCCUAUUCCCACUACUCUAGGUUAUUACAGAGUCCUAGUUUGAGUUCUCCAAGUCAUACAGAAAAUUCCCGUUGACUAUCUAUUUACGUAUGUAGUCAUGAACAGAGGAGCUUGGCAGGCUAUGGUCCAUAGGGUUGAAAAGAGUCAGACACAACUGAAGCAGCUUAGCACAGCACAUGGUUAAAAUGGUCCUUUAAAAAAUAAUCAUGGAGUUUCAGCAGAAGUAAUACACUAAUACAGUAGGUUUCAGAUACCCCACGUUAAAAAGUGAGAUGUGAACCACCUGUGCAGAAUGCAUGACCUGAUACAGAAACGGGUCAGCGUGACCACACCUGGUGAGCAUUGGAGAGAUGAGAACAUUGAAAAGGUGAGUUGCUUCUCACCUACUAAAGUGAGACAAGGAAUUUCAGAAGAUCUUCUUGGAGGACUUGAUAUUUAUCCCCUGGAGUCUGCUGAACUCAGAGUGGAGGCCUGUUUCUUUCCAGGAGAAAUCCUGAGGAAAAAAAAAAAAAGAAAGAAACCAGUUCUUGGAAUCCAGCCACCACGCUGAGAGGAAGCCUGAGCAGCCGUGUGGAGAGGAACUAAGGUCCCUGACUGAGAGCCCUGGGCAAGCUCCCAGCCUGAAGCCAGCGUUAGUUGACCAGCUGUUAGUGAGUCACCUGGGAAGUGAAUACCACCAGUCCACUGAUGCCGUGUGGAGCAUAGAGAUCUGGUCGUCUUUCAAGAAGCCAAAACAGAUGCUAAGAAACUGAUUCGGUCUCUCAUAAUCCCCAAAUAACCCUAUGUAUGCUGUGGCAAUGCUCAUGUGUAGGAGUAGCUUUUUAGAAUGAUUUAUUUACAGUGUAUGAAAUGGGGUCAUCUUAACUAUGGUUCAUUGAAAUGCUUUACAAAUAAACAGAAGUUGUAACACAUAAAGUCUACCAUCCUGAACAAGCUGUCUCAUAUUAUUUAUCAGUAAUUAUCAUAUUUGCUCAUAUAAUGUUUCCAAAUUUUAAAAGAUGUGUACUACUAAAACAGAAGUGGGACGUAUGAAACUGUGCUCAUGAAAGAGAAAAUAGAU
ensembl:lncRNA